rnacentral:lncRNA from 1 species
AGACCCCUGGGCUAACAGCCCAAGGGAUGCACCUCAAUGGCCCCCACUGGUGUCCGUAUCAGCACGCCUGGACCAGCUCAGAACAACGGCCCCCACCAAUGUCUCAGUCUCUGGAGAGGAUCCUCCUCUCACCAAGAUGCCCCCAGAGCCCACCAGAGAGAAAAGGAGAAUGUUCACAAUAGAUUUUAAGAUGUGCUGCUAAUUUUCCUGAAGAGAGAACCUAGAGUUUCACUACUUUAACCUAGUCCCUGAUAAAAUCAGAGACAGAUGCUGUGCAAAGGAAAAGUUCUCAACGUUCAAAGAAAGAUGCCAGAAGCCUUUCCACGUGGAGUUUUGAUUUUGUUAGGUUUUAUCAAGCCAGCUUGAGAUGCCAGCCUUAAGUGAGAGUCUUGAUGAUAAAGAAAGAUUACAUACAGCUCUAGGAGAGAUAUGUUUUAUCUUUGACAAUCCCUGUGUUAUUUUUGUAAUAUUUCUUGGUUAUUUUAUGCUUUUCUUACAUAUGCCUCCACGUUCCUUUAUUGCUUUUUUGCUGGAGUCUCACGUAAUUAAUAUUAUUUAAUGAUUUAUUGAUAUAUUAAAUAUUGAUUAAUUUUGAAAUCUAAAUGAAGAUUCCAGUGAGUUUAUUAUACGCAGAGGAACUUGCCAAUUAGAUG